UACGAAGGGGGCUAGCGUUGUUCGGAAUUACUGGGCGUAAAGGGCGCGCAGGCGGCCCUCCAAGUCAGGCGUGAAAGCCCCGGGCUCAACCCGGGAACAGCGCUUGAGACUGGGGGGCUUGAGUUCGGGAGAGGAGAGUGGAAUUCCCAGUGUAGAGGUGAAAUUCGUAGAUAUUGGGAAGAACACCGGUGGCGAAGGCGGCUCUCUGGACCGACACUGACGCAUGAGGCGGCGAAA
rnacentral:rRNA from 1 species